rnacentral:lncRNA from 1 species
GGGAGAUGUCAGGAUGUGAAAACAACCAACAUUAAGUAGAUAUUUUGUGCCAGCACGAUAGCAAGUGUCUCCAAUAUGCUUUUGUCUUCUGUUCAAAGAUGCUAAACUGGCCUUCAUCAAACAGCCACUAGCUCAACUUGCUUCUGCUGUCUGUGAACACAGAGAACGAGGACAUGAAUAAGGACCAUCCUGGAGGUGGGGUCAUUUAUAAACCUGACCCUCUGGGUGCAAAAUG